CCCAUCCUCGAAGAGGCACACGCAGGCCACUUUGGGCGAGCGCGCAUAGAGGCCAAGAUCCGGCAGCGCUUUUAUUGGCAGAACAUCAGGGAGGAUGUGGACAACUGGAUUCAGACCUGCAUGCGGUGCCAACGCUUUGAGAGGGUGAAGACGGAGGCCCCGGAGAUGAGGCCCAUCAAGCCAGUUGCUCCCUGGCACAUGAUUGGU